GGGGAUUUGGCUCAGUGGUAGAGCGCUUGCCUAGGAAGCGCAAGGUCCUGGGUUCGGUCCCCAGCUCCG
rfam:Rattus norvegicus chromosome 12, whole genome shotgun sequence.